CUGAAUCCAGGAACACUGAUUAGGUUACAUGACUGAAAAACUGUUGAAAAACGGCGUUAAACCCAAAGCAAACAAACAAACUCAUGCAAUCUAUACAUAAGACUUCUCUGAUAUCCAGAAAUAAGUGAAGGAGAUAACUUCAGUUAUGUCUGGUAUUAUCAACCUUGCUAACAAUGAUGUAAAUUAAGUUGCUAUCUACGAAGUCCAAACAGUUAAUUGUUCUUCGAUUAAUGGUAUCCAAACAGUUAAUUGUUCUUCGAUUAAUGGUAUCCAAACAGUUAAUUGUUCUUCGAUUAAUGGUAUCCAAACCAUGACACACUUGAUACAUGUGGCUGACUUUUGUAUUUUGUCGCAAAAAUAUUAUUUUUUCAGUUUAGAGAUCAAUAACUACAUAUAAUAUUCAAAAAUGCUUCUUCUUUCUUCGUUUCGUUUUCGAUUUCUUAAUUGCCGUAAUCUGUUCGUUUUGUUUUUAUUACUUAAUAAUUUGAACCAGAAUGUUUUAAUCAUUUUAUAUCUAAUAUUUUGAACUUUGCAAUGAUGAGUGAAAUGGUAUAAAUGAGCAAAACCUACGUAAUGUUUACACAUGGCUACUGGUGUAGUUACCAUGCAGUGUUAAUACCUUCUAUUUUUGAAAUUUCUAAUCGCACAAACGUUUUGAAGAAUUUUUAUUUUUAUUUUUUCUAUCUACAGAUGGUCAUGUAAUGCUGACCUGUUCAGUACAAUGUUUACAGAGUAACGCAUUGCAGAAAACUAUGACUUUUGUACGUAAGUACGUAAGUCACUAAAAAGUAUCGUUUUCGGCGUUACCAUUGUGGUCUCCCUCGUCAAGGUCGCUGAAAGCGAAUUUCUUGACACAGACUCAUAUUGGUUCAAGUAUUAAUUUGUGCGUGUAAUACUUCCUGUGAGGUUGUCAGCCAGUCGUCGGAUCUAUUCAGGUACCCGCCCGUGAUGAAAUAAUGCCCGGAGCGGCACCUGGGUUCUCCUCUACCAUAAAAAGCUGGGAAUUCGCCAUAUGACAUAUAAUUGCGUCGGUGUGUUAUUAAAAUAUAAGUUAAUCACUUAUUGUCGUAGUUAUAUAGUGUUUAUUAUAUUGUUGCUUAUAUAAUAUGAAAAUAUUUUUUAAAACAGACUAUAUUCUGACUACUACCACGAAUAUGGAAAGCAUACGAGGAGAAACAGUCCAAAUCCCCGCCAGUUCCACAAGGUUGUAUCAGCAGGUGUUAAACUUUACCAGGACUGUUUCAAACGCCACUCCGUCCGUAGUUGUGUUUAUGAACCUUUACUUUAUAAUCAAACGAAGGUAAGAGCAUGUAAAUGAAUGAAUGCACUCCCUACCAAAAUAACGAGUGGAUAGUCAAAUAACAUUGUAAGCCGACGAAAAUGGGUGAAAAUAGCUACAAAAACAUGCCGGUAGGUAGAGAAAUGUAGGUACAUUUCUGAAUUGUACCCAAAUGGUUUUUCAUAGUGGCGACCGAAAUAUUUUGUAAAGUACAUGUUGUUUCCGUUUUGGAACAGUGUAUUUGUUUCAUAGAAUUUCGUGUAAGUAUGCGUAUAGGGGCAUGAAAACUGUAACGAUUUCAUUAUCCCUCACGAACAGACCUAAUUAAACCAAGUACAAUAUUCAACAACUUCUCAUUGUCUUGAUAUUGUGCACAAACUUGAAGAUUAAUUAUUUCAACUUGGAUAUUGUAUGGAUUUGAUAAUCGUUUUGGAUACUUACUGUUUCACCUGUAUUCAGCAAUUAACGUUAUUUUCCUGCAUGUAGCAGUGAAUGUUAUCAUGCUUCGCGUUUUGUAUUGUCGGUGCAAAACUCGCAUAUAACGGAUGUUAGAUACUCUUUCUAUUACUUUCAAAAAUACCGAGAAUUUUGUUUGAAUUGCAACGUUUUUAAAGCUGAACGACAGGUCUCGAUCUGGUUCCUUUCUGAAACAGUCUAUCUGUUACUUUGUAAAGAAUGUGCUUUUAAAAAUCUUCUUUUUUCAGGAGACAUAAAUAUCAUGAUGACAUCAAUAUUCGGGGAAACACUAUCAGUCUCGGCUCCCUCUCGGAUGACAACUUUAUCCUCAUGCUGACAGUAAUAAAACUCCCACUGAAUGUCUAUGAUAUAAGAAUACAUGUAUUAUGACAUACGUUUUCAUAGCUAUAAUCUAAAUGUUUUUGUUACAGAUUCAAAUGCAGUUAGGAAUAUAUUACAUAUUUUGGAUGGAUCUAACGAGAAAUUUUCCUCGGGAUCAAAUACAUGUUAUUCAAAAUAAAAAUCUUCACGAUAAAGAAACGACCAUGAGAAGGGUGUAUCAGUUUCUAAACUUACGAAAUCUUACUUCAGAAGAAAUGGAAAAAGUGGCGAAUACGAAAGAGACAUCCACAAGACGGAAAUCAUUUAAAAAAGAAGGACCUAUGCUAAACGAAACACGCAAAAUACUGCAGGACUUUUACCGCCCUUUCAAUAGACUAAUGGCAUAAAUAACUGGGGACAAUCAUUUUGUUUACAAAUACUGAUGACAACAGCUGAAUCCAGACAUUAUGUAUUCAAAAGUAAUGUCACUGGAGCCAUACAAAUGUGUACUUUAAAAUUUUCUGCCAACGAACAUUGAAAUACUUUUCGAAAAUAGCAUACGAAUUUAUUGCUUUCUUGUCGAGAAAAGCAUGGUAACGAUGAUUUGAUGUUACUGACAUAUAGAUAUUUUUGUCAUUAAGCCCUGACAAGCCUUAGCUCUUCGCAGUGUAAGAGAAUUUUAGUCUGAGAGGAUGUCACUGUAGUUCACACAAUUGUUUGCUGAAAGAAGGAAUCAAACAACAUCAUAACUUCAUAUGAUUACGUGUGUUAUCUUAAUGUCAAUUGGUGAUUGUUUUCUGUUUAUGGAAAAGUGCCAGUUUUCAGUUUGGCAAACUAUCGUAAAAGUAUACACUCAAAAAAUUGUCUAAUCGGUCAGUUUAUCUUGUAUUACUAUUUGUUAUUAAUGUAUGUAUUAACACGAAAUUUCACAUACCGACAUUUGAAUAGGUACUGCAGCUAAUCAUUAAUUCAUUAUUGGCCGAUUCACGGCCAAAGUAACCGCAUUAGGCGUUUUGGACAAUAUUGCAUAUUUUGCAGGCGCAGGGCAUGUGUACCAACAUGCACGUUCUGUAUGGUGUAGCUAACUGUGAGGUGCGUAAGAUGCAACGUAUUCAAAACAUGUGCGGAAAACUUGUCCUUAACAGGAGGAUAUUUGACAGUUUUAAACAAGCAUCGUAUCACUUACAUUGGUAGCCGAUGAAAGCAAGAAUUGAGUUCAAGAUACUUUCUUUCAGGUAUAGCUGUCACACUGGCAGAG
rnacentral:lncRNA from 1 species